rnacentral:rRNA from 1 species
CGAAAGCCUGACGGAGCAAGACCGCGUGAGGGAGGAAGGUCUGUGGAUUGUAAACCUCUUUUUUCAGGGAGGAAUAAAUGACGUGUACCUGAAGAAUAAGCAUCGGCUAACUCCGUGCCAGCAGCCGCGGUAAGACGGAGGAUGCAAGUGUUAUCCGGAAUCACUGGGCGUAAAGCGUCUGUAGGUGGUUUAGCAAGUCAACUGUUAAAUCUUGAGGCUCAACCUCAAAAUCGCAGUCGAAACUAUUAGACUAGAGUAUAGUAGGGGUAAAGGGAAUUUCCAGUGGAGCGGUGAAAUGCGUAGAGAUUGGAAAGAACACCGAUGGCGAAGGCACUUUACUGGGCUAUUACUAACACUCAGAGACGAAAGCUAGGGUAGCA